UGUAAUAGUCAGAACGUAAAAAACAGACUUUAAGAGGGAAAGUGCAACAUUUUUACCUCAGCAUGUGUCACAGGAAACCAGUGCUGUCCGUCUCCUACCUACAUGUGUCACAGUGAAGCGCCACUACUGCGCUUUUCAACGGAGAAGCAACGAAAAAUAUCAUUUAGAAAGUAGGAAGUGUCCGAAGCCCGCAGGAAAGCGCGGGACCGAGCCUGGCAUCCGGCGCUCCGGGUACCGGGGACGCGCUCCUCCUCGAGCCGUCCUGGAGGCUCGCUCUCCCGGGCUCCAGCCCCGCUCUGCCUGCCCACCCGCCCGUCGCUCUGAUUGAUUACAGUCAGCAGCCAAUGGCUUCCACAUCGCACCCCCUGGCUUUUUAUAGAGCUCCCCUGCCCACCGUCACUCGUCGUGCUCGACUCCUCCGGGGGGCACGCGGCCGCGGCUCCGGCAUGAUGAACAGUCAGUACCACGGGUUGUGGUGAGCCAGAGCCUAACCCGGCAACACAGGGCGUAAGGCUGGAGGGGGA
rnacentral:lncRNA from 1 species